rnacentral:rRNA from 1 species
AGCGAACGCUGGCGGCAGGCUUAACACAUGCAAGUCGAGCGGGCCCUUCGGGGUCAGCGGCGGACGGGUGAGUAACGCGUGGGAACGUGCCUUCUGGUCUGGAAUAACCCUGGGAAACUAGGGCUAAUACCGGAUACGCCCUUUUGGGGAAAGGUUUACUGCCGGAAGAUCGGCCCGCGUCUGAUUAGCUAGUUGGUGGGGUAACGGCCUACCAAGGCGACGAUCAGUAGCUGGUCUGAGAGGAUGAUCAGCCACACUGGGACUGAGACACGGCCCAGACUCCUGCGGGAGGCAGCAGUGGGGAAUAUUGGACAAUGGGCGCAAGCCUGAUCCAGCCAUGCCGCGUGAGUGAUGAAGGCCUUAGGGUUGUAAAGCUCUUUUAUCCGGGACGAUAAUGACGGUACCGGAGGAAUAAGCCCCGGCUAACUUCGUG